rnacentral:rRNA from 1 species
UGCCAGCAGCCGCGGUAAGACGGAGGUGGCAAACGUUGCUCGGAAUCACUGGGCUUAAAGGGCGUGUAGGCGGCAGAUCAAGUCGGGUGUGAAAUCCCUCGGCUCAACCGAGGAACUGCAUCCGAUACUGGUCAGCUAGAGUGCGAGAGGGGUGAGUGGAACUCCAGGUGUAGCGGUGAAAUGCGUAGAUAUCUGGAGGAACGCCGGUGGCGAAAGCGACUCACUGCCUCGCAACUGACGCUGAGGUGUGAUAGCGUGGGGAGCAAACAGGAUUAGAUA